rnacentral:rRNA from 1 species
UACGAAGGGUGCAAGCGUUACUCGGAAUUACUGGGCGUAAAGCGUGCGUAGGCGGUUGUUUAAGUCUGAUGUGAAAUCCCCGGGCUCAACCUGGGAAUGGCAUUGGAUACUGGACGGCUAGAGUGAGGUAGAGGGUGGUGGAAUUCCCGGUGUAGCGGUGAAAUGCGUAGAGAUCGGGAGGAACAUCUGUGGCGAAGGCGGCCACCUGGACCAUCACUGACGCUGAGGCACGAAAGCGUGGGGAGCAAAC